AGUGAACGCUGGCGGCGUGCCUAACACAUGCAAGUCGAACGAUGAAGAGCAGCUUGCUGCUCGGAUUAGUGGCGCACGGGUGAGUAACGCAUAGGUAAUGUGCCCCUUAGUCUGGGAUAGCCACUGGAAACGGUGAUUAAUACUAGAUACUCCUUCUCAUUAUAAGAUGAGUCGGGAAAGUUUUUCGCUAAGGGAUCAGCCUAUGUCCUAUCAGGUAGUUGGUGAGGUAACGGCUCACCAAGCCUAUGACGGGUAUCUGGUUUGAGAGGAUGAUCAGACACACUGGAACUGAGACACGGUCCAGACUCCUACGGGAGGCAGCAGUGAGGAAUAUUGCACAAUGGAGGAAACUCUGAUGCAGCAACGCCGCGUGGAGGAUGACGCAUUUCGGUGUGUAAACUCCUUUUAAGAGGGAAGAUUAUGACGGUACCUCUUGAAUAAGCACCGGCUAACUCCGUGCCAGCCGCCGCAGUAA
rnacentral:rRNA from 1 species